UAAGGCGUGGCCGAGUGGUCAAGGCGAUAGACUUGCAAUCGUGCGUAGGCGUAGGUUCAAAUCCUGCAAUCUUCG
rnacentral:tRNA from 1 species